rnacentral:rRNA from 1 species
UACGUAGGCAGCAAGCGUUGUUCGGAAUUACUGGGCGUAAAGAGUGUGUAGGCGGUGCUCUAAGUUUGGUGUGAAAUCUCCCGGCUCAACUGGGAGGGUGCGCCGAAAACUGGAAUGCUUGAACGUGGGAGAGGAAAGCGGAAUUCCUGGUGUAGCGGUGAAAUGCGUAGAUAUCAGGAGGAACACCAGUGGCGAAGGCGAGUCCCUGGACAGGUCCUGACGCUGAGGCACGAAAGCUAGGGGAGCAAACAGG